GACGAACGCUGGCGGCAUGCCUAAUACAUGCAAGUCGAGCGAACAGAUGAAGUGCUUGCACUUCUGACGUUAGCGGCGAACGGGUGAGUAACACGUAAGGAAUCUACCUAUAAGCGGGGGAUAACAUUCGGAAACGGGUGCUAAUACCGCAUAAUAUCUUCUUCCGCAUGGAAGAAGAUUGAAAGACGGCUCUGCUGUCACUUAUAGAUGACCUUGCGGUGCAUUAGUUAGUUGGUGGGGUAAUGGCCUACCAAGACGAUGAUGCAUAGCCGACCUGAGAGGGUGAUCGGCCACAUUGGGACUGAGACACGGCCCAAACUCCUACGGGAGCAGCAGUAGGGAAUCUUCGCAAUGGGCGAAAGCCUGACGGAGCAAUGCCGCGUGAGUGAAGAAGGCCUU
rnacentral:rRNA from 1 species